rnacentral:rRNA from 1 species
AGUGAAGCGGCAAAAGCUCAAAUUUGAAAUCUGGCGUCUUCGACGUCCGAGUUGUAAUUUGAAGAAGGUAACUUUGUAGCUGGUCCUUGUCUAUGUUCCUUGGAACAGGACGUCAUAGAGGGUGAGAAUCCCGUGUGGCGAGGAUCCCAGUUAUUUGUAAAGUGCUUUCGACGAGUCGAGUUGUUUGGGAAUGCAGCUCUAAGUGGGUGGUAAAUUCCAUCUAAAGCUAAAUAUUGGCGAGAGACCGAUAGCGAACAAGUACAGUGAUGGAAAGAUGAAAAGAACUUUGAAAAGAGAGUGAAAAAGUACGUGAAAUUGUUGAAAGGGAAGGGCAUUUGAUCAGACAUGGCGUUUGCUUCGGCUUUCGCUGGGCCAGCAUCAGUUUUAGCGGUUGGAUAAAUCCUCGGGAAUGUGGCUCUGCUUCGGUAGAGUGUUAUAGCCCGUGGGAAUACAGCCAGCUGGGACUGAGGAUUGCGACUUUUGUCAAGGAUGCUGGCGUAAUGGUUAAAUGCCGCCCGUCUUGAAACACGGACCA